AGAGUUUGAUCAUGGCUCAGGAUGAACGCUAGCUACAGGCUUAACACAUGCAAGUCGAGGGGAAACGACAUCGAAAGCUUGCUUUUGAUGGGCGUCGACCGGCGCACGGGUGAGUAACGCGUAUCCAACCUGCCCACCACUUGGGGAUAACCUUGCGAAAGUAAGACUAAUACCCAAUGACGUCUCUAGAAGACAUCUGAAGGAGAUUAAAGAUUUAUACGGUGAUGGAUGGGGAUGCGUCUGAUUAGCUUGUUGGCGGGGUAACGGCCACCAAGGCGACGAUCAGUAGGGGUUCUGAGAGGAAGGUCCCCCANAUUGGAACUGAGGACACGGUCCAAACUCCUACGGGAGC
rnacentral:rRNA from 1 species